GACGAACGCUGGCGGCGUGCUUAACACAUGCAAGUCGAACGGUGAAGCGCCUUCCUUUUUGGUGGGUGUGGAUGAGUGGCGAACGGGUGAGUAACACGAGAGUAACCUGCCCCCUCCUUCUGGAUAACCGCAUGAAAGUGUGGCUAAUACGGGAUAUUCUGGGUCUGUCGCAUGAUGGGUCUGGGAAAGAUAUUGUUUCGGUGGGGGAUGGGCUCGCGGCGGAUUAGCUGGUUGGUGGGGUGAUGGCCUACCAAGGCGGCGAUGGGUAGCCGGCCUGAGAGGGGGGUGGACGACCCUGGUGGGGCGGCGCCGCCCAGCCGCCUCCUGGGGGCGGCAGCAGUGAAGAAUAUUGAACGGGGGGCGCAAGGCUGGUGCAGCGACGCCGGGUGGGGGAUGGACUCCUUCGCGUUGUGAACCUCUUUCGGGAGUGAAGCAGGCCUGCCUUGUUUGUGGGUGGGUUGACGGUAGCUGGAUAAGAAGCGCCGGCUAACUACGUG
rnacentral:rRNA from 1 species